AUGUUGUUAAUUUUGGUUUCUCUUGUGAGUUUCGGCGAGACUAGGGUUUCAAAUCUAUGAUUUAGGUUAUCAGAUCUACGAUUAUGGAUUUUAGAAACAAAAAUCGUUCUAGGGUUAUGAUUUUUUUUAAUGUAGCUGUUAUUUAAUUCAUGUUAGCUCUUUCCCAUCAUAUUUACACAAUUUCUAAUUUUUAUACAUAUAGUAUGUAUUCGGUCUAGGGCCUUUAUAAACUACAUUGGUGAAAAUGGAAAUUGGCUCUGGCAAAGAUGAUUGCUAUACAAGCCGGAAAAGGUCGCAUCCGAUGAAAUCCUUCGUCUUUGGUGAUUCAGUUUUGUUUACUGUCAUUGAACAUUCUUAGUUUGUUUAUCAGUGGGUGAAUCAUCCCAAGAUGUUAGAUGUCGAAUGCAAGAGGACAUUUAAGGACACUAACUUUAAAGAAUGGAAGCUUGUGAUUCAAUAAAUAAUCAAGUUGGACAAAUAUACAAGGGGAAUGCGAAAGUAUCUCAUGGGGAUGAUAAUGUUGUGUGAAGCUGAAGUGGUAUGGUUACGGAUCCUCAAAGAGCUUAAACUGUACGUUGAUCCGAAUCUUGAUCCGGUGCUCAUAGUGCCUGGGAUUGCUAAAUAACAUUUAAAUGCUAAAGAUGGUGAAACGGGGAAGAAAGAGCGAGUUUGGGUAGUUAAUCGUGAAUUUAGAGAUAAACUUUGGUGUAAAUUUGAUCCUGAAUCGGGGUGCACACAUUGCUAGCCAGAACCGAGGUCAAUGAGGUAUGGUUGUCGGGUCUCUUUUAAGAACAUAACCAGUUUGGGUCGUGCCAGUUCGGACUUGGUAUACCACUCGCCCCGCUGCACCUUUUUUGUCAGGUAUAAUGUUAUCAUAUGUUAGUUUUGCAUGGUUUUGUCGGGUCUCUUUUUCAUUAGUUUUUACUCGAUUAUCUUUAGAAUUUGUAAGACAUUUAUUGAAGCAAAAAUUAUUAACUACACAUGAAAGUAUAAAUUUUGCAGCUACUUCAAUCAGAUUUAAUCCUCAUGUGGCAGGGUAGUUGAAAGAAAUAUAUGCUUUAUGAGACCUUGCUUCUUAAUUGACAUCCACUUUUUGGCAACUAUUUUCUUGCAUAAGCAAAUUCAAACAUCUUAAAAAUCUUAUUUUAACUAUAAUAUGGGUAUGUUUGUUAAUUUAAAAUUUUCAAUCAAGAACAAGUGGGGUGGAUUGGUUACUUAUCAUAGUACACGGUUCGCUAUGUAGAGAAGAAAAAACUAAUGUAUACAGAUGCACCACAAGAUGUGUAGACCAUAGAAAUCUAUUAUCUCAGAUUAUAUAGAUUAUAUGAAGAUGUGAUCGUGUUUGAUCACGUGCAAAAGGUACUCGAUAGCAUAAUUGCAUACCGUUUUCAGUUUCAUGAAUCUUUAUUAUAAUUAUGAUUCUUUAACAAGUUGAGACUUUUUCGUUUUCAUUUAUUCGGUUCAUUGUAAUUUAAUCUUUAUGUAAGUAACGAAACUCUUUUUUUUUUUCAUUUCAAUGCUUUUAAUGAUCAUGGGUUAAUGUGAACUGUCCCAACGCACAAAGAGAGCAUAUCUGGAGAAUAUUCAUUUGAUUGGACGAUGGAAUAGACGAAGGCUCAUGACUAUUUUUUUGGAAUCAUCCAAAGCCUUUAAUCUAUAUAAUGGGAUCCCAUGGCAACAAUAUUCUAGAUGGAUCUAUUUUUGGGAUUCUACAUUUUGGUUAUCGACAAGUUUUGCUACCCCUUAAUGGCAAAUUGAGCCAAAUGGCCUUCCGUGUGACAACCAUGGAAGUCUACUUAUGAGUAGGACAAGUCUGCCACAAGCAACUUUUGAAGUUAUACGAAGCGAAGGGAUUGGAUGAUUAUACUUCCGUGGUUGGAUUCUUAUAACAGGUUAUACGAAGCGAAGGGAUUGGAGGAUUAUACAUUAGCCUUAGCAGAGACCCUGGCGUUAUACAUUUCAUGAUUCUAGAUCUGUAUAUAGUAAGUAUAAUAAACUUUAUAUCCACUAAGAAUGUAUUAAUGCCUUACAGUUUUGUGUUCGUGACUCAUGCGCCUCAUAGCAAUAUGUUCUAGAGUUGUAUGUACUACAUCGGUUGGGUUUGAAGUUAUAAUGGUUCUAAGGUUGUAUAACGUACAUCAAUUGGGUAUAAAGUGAUUAAAGGUUGUAUAUAG
rnacentral:lncRNA from 1 species